rnacentral:lncRNA from 1 species
CCCCAAAAUAAUCUAUAGUUCCCAGAAGCUAGAGUUGAAUUUCAGAUUCAAAUACUAUAUCUGAAAUUCCAAAGUCUCUUUUUCAUCUUAAAAAUCUUUAAAAAAUUUACAAAAGCUACCGAAAAAUCCAAAAAUACAUUGUUCUAUUGAAUUUCUUAGGUUAAUUUCAAAUUUUAGGCAUUUCCUAGCUUAAUAUAUGAUAUUUGAAGUUUCAGAAGUGUUACUGGUUUGAUUUCGAGUGGGUUUUGGGUUCAGCCAAGUCAUCUUUGGAUCAGUUAUUAGGUGUUGUGUUUUUGUGCUAUGUUUUUGGGUUUUUGUGAAGUGAUUUUGGUUCAAAAUUAUCCCUGUUGUUGAUGAUUUUGAUUCCUGUUAAUACCUCUGCUGUUGAUGAUCUUCUUCUCUUCUCGUUUAUUCUAAUCUCAGGUAUACGACUGUAGCUUUGGCAAUUACUAGCUGAAAACAUGAAGUAUGAAUAUAUGUGAAGAAUUGAAGCCUAAGUUCUGAUCUAGCUCUUUUCCUGAUUUGUGUACUUGAACAUUUCAUUCACUGAUGUUAUGUAGACUUUUGUUGGUUUUGUAUAAUUGAAUUAUUUUGGAUUGUAAAAUAGAUUUACACUUUGGCAUCCAAUGCUCGAUUUCUGCAGUAAAAACUAGGCUAUAUUGGACUACAUUGGACUGAUGAAAUAGUAGGUUUAUGCUCGUUCAUUUGAGUCAUUAGAUUUGUGUUUGUGUGCAUUGAAAUAAUUGAUGGUGAUUAGUUAACUCCUAAAGUAUAAUUGAAAAUGUUGUUUGAAUAAUUUCUAUCUAUACUAACUGGACUAGGCGAACAAUGUUCAGAAGUGCAUGAAUAUUACUCGUGAUCCUGUUGAAUUUGAUUUAGAGGCGACGUUGUUUAGGGUUUAAGAUGAAUCACUGUCAAUUCAAAUUAAUGUUCAAACAUGUUAAGCAUGAAGUCAAGUUGAUUCUUUGGGUUUUAGUCUAUUCACGUUUGAUUAACUUUGUAACAUACAAAAGAAGAUAACGUGAUAGGUUGAAAGCAAAACAGUUCGUAAUAGUCGUUGUGUUUUCCCGAUUUCAAAGCAUAAUUGAGUUUAUUUAAUAUGGAUCAACUGAAGUUUACAUUGAUUUUGGUUAUUGAUUGUGUAUUUACCAGCUCCAAAUUAAAAGUGAGAUGGGCUUCUGAAUUUGUCACGGGCCCAGGUAGUCCAACCAUUUUUAAAUGAAACCUGGGUUCCUUUGAAAUACAUGCUAAAAAUGUCUUAUUCUAUUCAUCCAACUACUGGGCCUAAUUGUUGGGAAUUGAAUUAUGGACUUUUGGACAUUUCACAUAUGCUAAUUAAUUGGCGUUUUUUCUUUUAUUAGUAGAGACAAAUAAAUAGAAAAUCAUAGUUUACUUUAGGAUUUGUCUUUUAAAUAAUAAGAAUAAGAUGAGCCUCACCAAAUAAAAACGAAUAAAUUGUGAGGCCCCCAUGAAAUUCUUAUAGUAAUAU